CAAGUCUUCAUUUCAUUACGAUUUCGAUUUUUAGGGAGUUCACGCUUGUGUCUAUGUGCCGUGGUUUGUUUAAUUCGUUGCCGGCAUUUUUUGGGUUGUGAAUCUUUCAUUUUUGCUUUCUGCUGGGGGGAUAAAGUUCUAAUAAACUAAAAAAUUAUCGCCUUCACUUAUAAAUUGAAUCAAAUCUGUUUUUGUAAUAUUUAAAUAGAUUACUAAGUGCAAUACCAAGGUAUAAACUAUGGCGGACCAAACACAAGCUGAAAACUCUCCUGCCGUUAAACCGGAAUCCGCUGAUCAAACGAGAGAUUCGAAUAAUUUUCAGAGGAGGUCUAGAGGAGGCAGCAGGUUUAGUAGUGGACCUCCAAGAGGAGGAGCCAAUCAAACUCAAGACAGGAUGAGUGAAAAUCAAAAUCAGCAAGGAGAUGGGGACAGCAUGCAAGUCAAGCAAGAAAAUUCUGAUCAAAAUGCUGGUAACCAUCAAAAUAAUAGACGUGGCGGCCGUGGAGGCAGCCGAUUUAGCAGUGGACCUGGUAGAGGAGGCUUUCAUAAUAGAGGAGGUCCAGAUGGUGACAAAAAUGACAGAAACGAUUUCAAAGGAGGAGAUGGCGAACGUGGCAGAGGUAGAGGUCGCGGACGUGGUGGAUUUAGAGGAGGUCGUGACGGACCUCGUGGAGGAGGCGGAGGUGAAGAAGGUAUGGAUGGAGACACAAGCUUUAGGCCUAGAGGACAUGUUGACAAAAUUGCUGAGAAAAUCAUGGGAUUCCAAGGACCAACCUUUGAAUUACCUCCUAUGGACAUGACUGAAAAGAAAUUUAAUGGUAGAAAUAGAUUGUAUGUUGGUAACAUUGGAUCUGAUGUCACUGAGGAGGACUUGGUUGAACAUUUUAAAGUAUUUGGAGAAACGUCUGAAGUUUUCCUCAAUAAAGACAAGAACUUUGGGUUCAUUAAGUUGGACUACCAUGCCAAUGCUGAAAAAGCAAAAAGAGAACUUGAUGGAACUGUUUUGAAAGGCAGAAAUCUAAAAAUUAGAUUUGCUCCUACAAGUGCAACUAUUAAAGUUAAGAACUUGUGCCCUUAUGUAUCUAAUGAACUGCUAUUCUAUGCAUUCAGUCCAUUUGGUGAAAUUGAGAAAGCUCAUGUAAGUGUUGAUGAGAGGGGCAAGCCAACUGGUGAAGGCUAUAUCCACUUUGCUAGGAAAUUUUCUGCCACUUUGGCAAUCAAAAAGUGUUCUGAAGGCUGCUACUUUUUGACAACAUCUCUACAGCCUGUUAUUGUGGAACCUUAUGAAAUUGUCGACGAUAUAGACGGAUUUGCCGACAAGAGCAUUAACAAGAAGCACCCUGACUUUAUGAGGGAGAGAGAACAACCUCCAAGAAUGGCUCAUACAAACAGCUUUGAAUUUGAAUAUGGUCAAAGAUGGAAAGUCUUGUAUGAACUCCACCAGCAGAAGGAAGAAGCUUUGAAGAAGGAACUAGCUCUUGAAAAAGAAAAAUUGGUUGCUCAGAUGGAAUAUGCCAAAUAUGAACAUGAAACCGAGAUGCUCAGGAACCAACUAAGGGCAAGAGAAAUGGACAAGGAACGCCAGAAGAGGGAAUGGGAAAUGAAGGAACGAAUGGCGGAAGAAGAACGUCAAAGGCAAGAAGAGACUAUGCGCACACGUCAGGAAGAAAUGGAAGCAAGAAUGCUGGCUUCUCAAGAAGAUAUGAGGAGGAGACAACAGGAAAACAAUCUCUUCAUGCAGGCACAUAAUCUUGAUUCACUUUUGGAACAGCAAGAACAAGUAUUUGAUCAACCUAACUUUGGAGGUCAGGGUUCUUAUGCAUCUGGAGGAGCUGAUGGGGUAAUGGUUGUUUUGGCGUACUAAUGUGAUCAGCGUACUUUAACCUGGAUAUUGGAUAUAUUACAUUUGGGACAGCAAAAUGUGUAGAAGUGAAUCCUACCGGAAAGAGUUGAUAGCUGGUUGAGCUUGAACGAAUUAACUGUCUUUGGGUUUCCGCGUCUAUCCUUUUGACCCAGCGAUGCUCCAACGUCAUUAACCCAAAUGGAAAAUACGUUUUUUGGAGGUCUACAAGUCGGCCUUUGUGGCGGCCUUCGAGCCUCCUCAUUCGACUUUGAUCCCGGGGGGGAAGUGACUUGUAAGUUUGGAACCAAAAAUAAGUUACACCGAGCGAAUUCUGGAGAAUACGGCGGAAGAGGCACCUGGGCGUGGCAUAUCAAAAGCCGACGUGCAUGAUGGGAAAAAAUCGUAUUAUUUUUUAAAAAUGGGUUUAUCAAGUUAUGAGUGACUUCAGUAAACAACAAUUUUAAUUUGAAUUACAAAUCACUCAUAUUCAAAAUAAUUCUAAAGGGCUCAUUUGCAACAUAGCAAGCCAUCUGAAUUCUUGUCAUUCAACACGCAAUACAAAUAUGCUUAAAAUUAUUAUAUAGCACGUUGUAUAACAUUAUUAAAAAACUGUACUAUUGUUAAACUUGAUCUUAUAAGCAUUUAUACAUAGUGGCUAAACGAAAUGUCGGGCUCGUAAAGAUUUUAAAAAGAAAACGCUCGGUCACGUCAAUUUAGAUUAUCAGGGGGAAAAUUUUUCGGAAUAUCACCCCCAUCUGUCAUCCCUAAUCAUUUUUAAUGGAAUAAGUGGGUCGAGUUAUACCUUGUUUGAAAGGUCUUUCGAUUUUCUUUUUGCCUAUACCUAGUUUAAAGGAUUUUACUUCAGUGGUUCUCAAAAUAUUGACUAUUUUAAUAUUUAAUAGUUUUUUGGAAAAUAAUCGCAAUUCUUUGUCAAACAAUUAUUAAUUCAAAAUUUUUGAGAUUGGUUCCACCCUGGCUAAGGGAUGAUUGAUGGGGGUGGUAUUAUACUCUGAAAAUAUUUCUCCCUGGUAAUCUAAAAUGACCUGUCCGAGCCUUUUCUUCUUAAAAUCUUUACGAGCCCGACAUGGCUGCCCUUUCGUUUUUGUUUAGCCACCCUGUAUGUCGUGUAUAAGCUCAAAAAGGGCCCACGCUAAUAAAAUAAUUUUAUUUUAUUAAACUCGUUUAAUAAUUUUAUAUAAAAUUGAUUCCCGUUCAUAAUAAAGUAUUUAUAAAAUUA
rnacentral:misc_RNA from 1 species